UACGUAGGGUGCGAGCGUUAAUCGGAAUUACUGGGCGUAAAGCGUGCGCAGGCGGCUUUGCAAGACAGAUGUGAAAUCCCCGGGCUCAACCUGGGAACUGCAUUUGUGACUGCAAGGCUAGAGUACGGCAGAGGGGGAUGGAAUUCCGCGUGUAGCAGUGAAAUGCGUAGAUUUGCGGAGGAACACCAAUGGCGAAGGCAAUCCCCUGGGCCUGUACUGACGCUCAUGCACGAAAGCGUGGGGAGCAAACAGG
rnacentral:rRNA from 1 species